rnacentral:rRNA from 1 species
UACGUAGGGUGCGAGCGUUAAUCGGAAUUACUGGGCGUAAAGCGUGCGCAGGCGGUUCGUUAUGUCCGAUGUGAAAGCCCCGAGCUUAACUUGGGAAUGGCAUUGGAAACUGGCGGGCUGGAGUGCGGCAGAGGGGGGUGGAAUUCCGCGUGUAGCAGUGAAAUGCGUAGAGAUGCGGAGGAACACCGAUGGCGAAGGCAGCCCCCUGGGCUAACACUGACGCUCAGGCACGAAAGCGUGGGGAGCAAACAGG